UGUCAGAGCUGCUACCUGCUGAAGUACCCUUGAUGGCUGAAGUCGCAAAUGGGGGGCUGAGAAAAACAGGAGCCGAAGGGAAAAUGACAGCAUGGGAAGCAGCUGUGGUGUCCAUAGGUUCAGUGUCAGAGCUUCUGCCUGCUGAAACUGUAAUGUGGGGCUGGGGAAAACAGGAACCGAAUGGAAAAUGACAGCCUGGGAAGGAGGUGUGUUGUCUGUCCAUAGGUUGAGUGUCAGAGAUUCUGCCUGCUGAAGCCGUAAAUGGCAGACUGGGGAAAACAGGAGCAGAAUGGAAAAUGACAGCCUGGGAAGAAGGUGUGGUGUCCAUAGGUUCAGUGUCAGAGCUUCUGCCUGCUGAAGCCAUAAGUGUGAGACUUGGGAAACCAGGUUUAAAAUAAAAAAAAGCACCCUGGGAAGGAGGUGUGGUGUCCAUAGGUUCAGUGUCACAACUUCUGCCUGCUGAGGCCGUAAAUUGGGGGGCUGGGGAAAACAGGAGCCGAAUGGAAGAUAACAGCCUGGGAUGGAGGUGUUGUGUCCAUAGGUUCAGAGUCAGAGCUGCUACGUGCUGAAAUACCGAUGACGGCUGAAGCCCUAAAUGGGGGCUCAGGAACACAGGAGCCGAAUGGAAACUGACAGCCUGGGAUGGAGGUGUUUUGUCCAUAGAUUCAGUGUCAGAGCUUCUGCCUGCUGAAGCCGUAAAUGGGGGCUGGGGAAAAGAGGAACCGAAUGGAAAAAGACAGCCUGGGAACGAGGUGUGGUUUCCAUUGAUUCAGUGUCAGAGCUUCUGCCUGCUGAAGCCGUAAGUGUGAGCCUGGGGAAACCAGGUGUCAAAUGAAAAAUAACACCCUGGGAAGGAGGUGUGUUGUCUAUAGGUUCAGUGUUGAGUUGCUACUUGCUGUAGUACCCAUGGCGGCUGAAGCCCUAAAUGGGGGUUGAGGAAAACAGGAGCCGAAUGGAAAAUGAAAGCCUGGAAGGAGGUGUGGUGUCCAUAGGUUCGGUGUCACAGCUUCUGCCUGCUGAGGACGUAAAUUGGGGUUCGGGAAAACAGGAACCGAAUGGAGAAUGUCAGCCUGGGAAUGAAGUGUGUUGUCCACAGUUUCAGUGUCAGAGCUUCUGCCUCUGGAGGCCAUAAAUGGGGGGCCUGGAAAAAACAACAGCCGAAUGGAAAAUGACAGCCUGGGAAGGCGGUGUGAUGUUCAUAGGUUCAGUGUCAGAGCUUCUGCCGGCUGCAGCCGUAAAUGGGGGGCUGGGGAGAACAGGAGCCGAAUGGAAAGUGACAACCUGGGAAGGAGGUAUUGUGUCCAUAGGUUGAGUGUCAGAGCUGCUACCUUCUGAAUUACCGAUGACGGCUGAAGCCCUAAAUGGGGGGCUCAGGAAAACAGGAGCCGAAAGUAAAAUGACAACCUAGGAAAGAAGUGUGGUGUCCUUAGGUUCAGUGUCAGAGCUUCUAACUGCUGAAGCCGUAAAUGGGGUCUGGGGAAAACGGGAGCCGAAUGGAAAGUGACAGCCUGGGAAGGAGGUGUUGUGUCCAUAGGUUCAGUGUCAGAGCUUCAACAUGUUGAAGUACCCAUGAUGGCUGAAUCCGUAAAAGGGGGGCUGAGGAAAACAGGAGCAGAAUGGAAAAUGACAGCCUGCGAAGGAGGUGUGGUGUCCAUAGGUUCAGUGUCACAACUUCUGCCUGCUGAGGCCGUAAAUUGGGGGGCUGGGGAAAACAGGAGCCGAAUGGAAGAUAACAGCCUGGGAUGGAGGUGUUGUGUCCAUAGGUUCAGAGUCAGAGCUGCUACGUGCUGAAAUACCGAUGACGGCUGAAGCCCUAAAUGGGGGCUCAGGAACACAGGAGCCGAAUGGAAACAGACAGCCUGGGAUGGAGGUGUUUUGUCCAUAGAUUCAGUGUCAGAGCUUCUGCCUGCUGAAGCCGUAAAUGGGGGCUGGGGAAAAGAGGAACCGAAUGGAAAAAGACAGCCUGGGAACGAGGUGUGGUUUCCAUUGAUUCAGUGUCAGAGCUUCUGCCUGCUGAAGCCGUAAGUGUGAGCCUGGGGAAACCAGGUGUCAAAUGAAAAAUAACACCCUGGGAAGGAGGUGUGUUGUCUAUAGGUUCAGUGUUGAGUUGCUACUUGCUGUAGUACCCAUGGCGGCUGAAGCCCUAAAUGGGGGUUGAGGAAAACAGGAGCCGAAUGGAAAAUGAAAGCCUGGAAGGAGGUGUGGUGUCCAUAGGUUCGGUGUCACAGCUUCUGCCUGCUGAGGACGUAAAUUGGGGUUCGGGAAAACAGGAACCGAAUGGAGAAUGUCAGCCUGGGAAUGAAGUGUGUUGUCCACAGUUUCAGUGUCAGAGCUUCUGCCUCUGGAGGCCAUAAAUGGGGGGCCUGGAAAAAACAACAGCCGAAUGGAAAAUGACAGCCUGGGAAGGCGGUGUGAUGUUCAUAGGUUCAGUGUCAGAGCUUCUGCCGGCUGCAGCCGUAAAUGGGGGGCUGGGGAAAACAGGAGCCGAAUGGAAAGUGACAACCUGGGAAGGAGGUAUUGUGUCCAUAGGUUGAGUGUCAGAGCUGCUACCUUCUGAAUUACCGAUGACGGCUGAAGCCCUAAAUGGGGGGCUCAGGAAAACAGGAGCCGAAAGUAAAAUGACAACCUAGGAAAGAAGUGUGGUGUCCUUAGGUUCAGUGUCAGAGCUUCUAACUGCUGAAGCCGUAAAUGGGGUCUGGGGAAAACAGGAGCUGAAUGGAAAGUGACAGCCUGGGAAGGAGGUGUUGUGUCCAUAGGUUCAGUGUCAGAGCUUCAACAUGUUGAAGUACCCAUGAUGGCUGAAUCCGUAAAAGGGGGGCUGAGGAAAACAGGAGCAGAAUGGAAAAUGACAGCCUGCGAAGGAGGUGUGGUGUCCAUAGGUUCAGCGUCAGACAUUCUGCCUCUGAAGCCGUAAAUGGGCGGCUGGGGAAAACAGAAGCCAAAUGGAAAAUGACAGCCUGGGAAGGAAGUGUGUUGUCCAUAGUUUCAGUCUCAGAGCUUCUGCCACUUGAGGCCGUAAAUGGGGGCCUGGAAAAAACAGGAGCCCAAUGGAAAAUGACAGACUGGGAACGAGGUGUGGUGUCCAUAGAUUCAGUGUCAGAGCUUCUGCCUGUUGAAGUGGAAAAUGGGGGGAUGGAAAAUUCAGGAGACGAACGGAAAAUGACAGCCUGGGAAGGAGUUGUGCUGUCCACAGGUUCUGUGUCACACUUCUGCCUCUUUAUGAUGUAAAAGGUGGGCUGGGGAAAACAGGAGCUGAAUGGAAAAUGACAGCCUGGGAAGGAGAUGUCGUGUCCAUAGGUUCAGUGUCAGAGCUUCUGCCUGCUUAGGCCAUAAACGGGGGCCUGGAACAAACAGGAGCCCACUGGAAAAUGACAGCCUGGGAAGGAGGUGUGUUCUCUAUAGCUUCGUUGUCAGACCUUCUGCCUGCUGAAGCCGUAAAUGGGGUCUGGGGAAAAUAGGAGCCGAAUGGAAAGUGACAGCCUGGGAAGGAGGUGUUGUGUCCAUAGAUUCAGUGUCAGAGCUGCUACCUGCUGAAGUACUGAUAACGGCUGAAGCCCUAAAUGGGGGGCUCAGGAAAACAGGAGCCGAAUGGAAAAUGACAACCUGCGAAAGAAGUGUGGUGUCCAUAGGUUCAGUAUCAGAACUUCUACCUGCUGAAGCUAUAAAUGGGUGGCUGUGGAAAACAGGAGCCGAAUGGAAAAUGACAGCCUGGGAAGGAGAUGUCGUGUCCAUAGGUUCAGUGUCAGAGCUUCUGCCUGCUUAGGCCAUAAACGGGGGCCUGGAACAAACAGGAGCCCACUGGAAAAUGACAGCCUGGGAAGGAGUUGUUUUGUCCAUAUUUUCAGUGUCAGAGCUUCUGCAUUCUGAAGCCGUAAAUGGGGAGCUGGGGAAAACAGGAGCCGAAUGGAAAAUGACAGCCUGGGAAGGACGUGUGUUGUCCAUAGGUUCAGUGUCACAGAUUCCGCCUUCUUACCAUGUAAAUGGGUGGCUCGGAAAUACAGGAGCCGAAUGGAAAAUGACAGCCCGGGAAGGAUGUGUGUUGCCCAUAGGUUCAGUGUCAGAGCUUCUGCCUGCUGAACACGAAAAUGGGGGUCUGGGGAAAACAGGAGCGGAAGGGAAAGUGACAGCCUGGGAAGGAGGUGUUUUGUAUAUAGGUUCUGUGUCAGAGCUUCUUCCUGCUGAAGCCGUAAAGGGGGGCUGAGGAAAACAGGAACCGAAUGGAAAAUGUCAGCCUGGGAACGAGGUGUGGUGUCCAUAGAUUCAGUGUUAGAGCUUCUGCCUGCUGAAGCCGUAAGUGUGAGGCUUGGGAAACCAGGUGUCAAAUGAAAAAUAACACCCUACGAAGGAGCUGUGUUGUUCAUAGGUUCAGUGACACAGUUGCUACGUGCUGUAGUACCCAUGACGGCUGAAGCCCUAAAUGGGGGUUGAGGCAAAGAGGAGUCGAAUGGAAAAUGACAGCCUGGGAAGGAGAUGUGGUGUCCAUAGGUUCAGUGGCACAGCUUCGACCUGUUGAAGCCGACAAUGGGGGGAUGGGGACAACAGCACCCGAAUGGAAGAUGACAGCCUUGGAUUGAGGCGCUGUGUCCAUAGGUUCAGUGUUAGAGCUGCUACCUGCUGAAGCAGUAAAUGGGUUGCUGUGGAAAACAGGAGCUGAAUGGAAAAUGACAGCCUGGGAAGGAGGUGUUUUGUUCAUAGGUUCAGUGUCAGAAUUUCUGCCUGCUGAAUCCGUAAAGAGGGGCUAGGGAAAACAGAAACCGAAUGGAAAAUGACAGCCUGGGAAGGAGGUUGGUUGUCCAUAGGUUCAGUUUCAGACCUUCUUCUUGCUAUAGCCGUAAAUGGGGGGCUGGGAAAAACAGGGGCCCAAUGGAAAGUGACAACCUGGGAAGGAGGUGUGUUGACCAUAGGUUCAUUAAGAGAGCUUCUGCCUGCUGAAGCUGUAAAUGGGGAGCUGAGGAAAACAGGAGUCAAAUCGAAAAUGACAGCCUGCGAAAGAGGUGUGGUUUCCAUAGAUUCAGUAUCAGAGCUUCUGCGUUCUGAAUCCGUAAGUGUGGGGCUGGGGAAAACAGGCGUCAAAUGAAAAAUGACACCGUGGGAAUGAGGUGUGUUGUCCACAGGUUCAGUGUCAGAGCUUCAACCUGUUGAAGUACCCAUGACGGCUGAAUCCAUAAAAGGAGGGCUGAGCAAAAUAGGAGAAGAAUGGGAAAUGACAGCCUGGGAUGGAGUCGUGGUGUCCAUAGGUUCAGUGGCACCGCUUCUGCCUGCUGAGGCCGUAAAUCAUGGUUUGGGAAAACAGGACCCGAAUGGAAAAUGACAGCCUGGAAAUGAAGUGUGGUGUCCAUAGUUACAGUGUCAGAGUUUCUGCCUCUUGAGGCCAUAAAUGGAGCCCUGGAAAAAACAGAUGAAACGAAAAUGACAGCCUGGGAAGGCGGUGUGAUGUUCAUAAGUUCAGUGUCAGAGCUUCUGCCUGCUGAAGCCAUAAAUGGAGGGCUGGGAAAAACAGGAGCCGAAUGGAAGAUGACAGCCUGGGAUGUAGGUGUUGUGUCCAUAGGUACAGUGUCAGAGCUGCUACCUGCUGAAGUACUGAGGAUGGCUGAAACCCUAAAUGGGGGGGCUCAGGAAAACGGGAGCUGAAUGGAAAAUGGCAACCUGGGAAAGAAGUGUGUUUUCCAUAGUUUCAGUGUCAGAGCUUCUGCCUGCUGAAGCUGUAAAUGGGUGGCUGUGGAAAACAGGAGCCGAAUGGCAAAUGACAGCCUGGGUCGGAAGUGUGUUGUCUAUAGGUUCAUUGUCAGAGCUUCGGCCUGCUGAAGUCGUACAUUGGGGGCACAGGAAAACAGGAGGCGAAUGGAAAUUGACAGCCUGGGAAGAAGGUUGGUUGUCCAUAGGUUCAGUGUCAGAGCUUCUGACUGAUGAGGCCAUAAAUGGGGGCCUGGAGAAAACAGGAUCCGAAUGGAAAGUGACAGCCUGGGAAGGAGAUGUUUUGUCCAUAGGUUCAGUGUCAGAGUUUCUGCAUUCUGAAGCCGUAAAUGGGGGGCUGGGGAAAACAGAAGCCGAAUGGAAAAUGACACCCUGGGAAGGAUGUGUGUUGCCCAUAGGUUCAGUGUCAGAGCUUCUGCCUGCUGAAACUGUAAUGUGGGGCUGGGGAAAACAGGAACUGAAUGGAAAUUGACAGCCUGGGAAGGAGGUGUUUCGUCCAUAGGUUCAAUGUCACAGAUUCUGCCUUCUUACGAUGUAAAUGGGGGGCUGGGAAAUACAGGAGACGAAUGGAAAAUGACAGCCUGGGAAGGAUGUGUGUUGCCCAUAGGUUCAGUGUCAGAGCUUCUGCCUGCUGAACACAAAAAUGGGGGUCUGGGGAAAACAGGAGCCGAAUGGAAAGUGAUAACCUGGGAAGCAGUUGUUUUGUCUAUAGGUUCAGUGUCAGGGAUUCUUCCUGCUGAAGCCGUAAAGGGGGGCCAGGGAAUACAGGAACCGAAUGGAAAAUGACAGCCUGGGUACGAGGUGUGGUGUCCAUAUAUUCAGUGUCAGAGCUUCUGCCUGCUGAAGCCGUACGUGUGACUCUGGGGAAACCAGGUGUCAAAUGAAAAAUAACACCCUAGGAAGGAGGUGUGUUGUCCAUAGGUUCAGUGUCACAGUUGCUACCUGCUGUAGUACCCAUGACGGCUGAAGGCCUAAAUGGGGAUUGGGGCAAACAGGAGCCGAAUGGAAAAUGACAGCCUGGGAAGGAGGUGUGGUGUCCAAAGUUUCAGUGUCAGAGCUUCUACCUGUUGAAUCCAACAAUGGGGGGAUGGAGAAAACAGGACCCGAAUGGCAAAUGAGAGCCUGUGAAGGCGGUUUGUUGUCCAUAGGUUCAGUGUCAGAGCUUCUGCCUGCUGACGAAAUAAAUUGGGUUCUGGGGAAAACAGGAGUCGAAUUGUUACUGACAGCUUGGGAAGGAGGUGUGUUGUCCAUAGGAUCAUUGUUAGAGAUUCUGCCUUCUGAAGGCGUAAAUGGGGGGCUGGGGAAAACAGGAGCCAAGUGGAAAGUGAAAGCCUGGGAAAGAGGUGUUUUGUCUAUAGGUUCAGUGUCAGAGCUUCUUCCUGCUGAAGCCAUAAAGUGGGGCUGGGGAAAACUGGAAGCGAAUGGAAAAUGACAGCCUGCGAACGAGGUGUGGUGUCCAUAGAUUCAGUGUCAGAGCUUCUGCCUGCUGAAGCCAUAAGUGUGAGGCUUGGGAAACCAGGUUUAAAAUAAAAAAAAGCACCCUGGGAAGGAGGUGUGUUGUCCAUAGUUUCAGUGUCAGAGCUUCUGCCUGCUGAAGCCAUAAAUGGAGUGGUGGGGAAAACAGGAGCCGAACGGAAAAUGACAGCCUGGGAAGGAGGUGUGGUGUCCAUAGGUUCAGUGUCAGAGCUUCUGCCUGCUGAAGCCGUAAAUUGGGGUUCGGGAAAACAGGACCCGAAUGGAAAAUGACAGCCUGGGAAGGAAGUGUGUUGUCCAUAGUUUCAGUGUCAGAGCUUCUGACACUUGAGGCCAUAAAUACGGCCUGGGAAAAACAGGAGCCGAAUGAAAAAUGACAGCCUGGGAAGGAGGUGUGUUGUCCAUAGGUUCAGUGUCAGAGCUUCUACCUGCUGAAGCCUUAAAUGGGGGGCUGGGAAACAGGAGCCAAAUAGAAAAUGACAGCCUGGGAAGGCGGUGUGUUGUCCAUAGAUUCUGUGUCAGAGCUUCUUCCUGCUGAAGCCGUAAAUGGAGGGCUGGGGAAAACAGGAGCCCAAUGGAAGGUGACAACCAAGGAAGGAGGUGUUUUGUCCAUAGGUUCACUAUCAGAGCUUCUGCCUGCUGCAGCCGUAAAGGGGGCCUGGGGAAAACAGGAACCAAAUGGAAAAUGACAGGGAAGGAGGUGUGGUGUCCAUAGGUUCAUGUCAGAGCUUCUGCCUGCUGAUGACGUAAAUGGGGGUCUGGGGAAAACAGGAGUCGAAUGGAAACUGACAGCCUCGGAAGGAUGUGUGUUGCCCAUAGGUUCAGUGUCAGAGCUUCUGCCUGCUGAAGCCGUAAAGUGGGCUGGGGCAAACAAGCGCCGAAUGGAAAAUGACAGCCUUGGAAGGAGGUUUGUUGUUCAUAGGUUCAUUGUCAGACCUUCUGCCUGCUGAAGCCAUAAAUUUGGGGCUGAGGAAAACAGAAGCCGAAUGGAAAAUGACACCUUGGGAAGGAGGUGUGUUGUCCAUAGUUUCAUUGUCAGAGCUUCUUCCUGCUGAAGCCGUAAAUGGGGGGCUGGGGAAAACAGGAGCCCAAUGGAAAGUGACAGCCUGGUAAGGAGGUAUUUUGUCCAUAGGUUCAGUAUCAGAGCUUCUGCCUGCUGAAGCCAUAAGUGUGAGACUUGGGAAACCAGGUUUAAAAUAAAAAAAAGCACCCUGGGAAGGAGGUGUGUUGUCCAUAGUUUCAGUGUCAGAGCUUCUGCCUGCUGAAGCCAUAAAUGGAGUGGUGGGGAAAACAGGAGCCGAACGGAAAAUGACAGCCUGGGAAGGAGGUGUGGUGUCCAUAGGUUCAGUGUCAGAGCUUCUGCCUGCUGAAGCCGUAAAUUAGGGUUCGGGAAAACAGGACCCGAAUGGAAAAUGACAGCCUGGGAAGGAAGUGUGUUGUCCAUAGUUUCAGUGUCAGAGCUUCUGACACUUGAGGCCAUAAAUGGCGGCCUGGGAAAAACAGGAGCCGAAUGAGAAAUGACAGCUUGGGAAGGAGGUGUGUUGUCCAUAGGUUCAGUGUCAGAGCUUCUACCUGCUGAAGCCUUAAAUGGGGGGCUGGAAAACAGGAGCCAAAUAGAAAAUGACAGCCUGAGAAGGAGGUGUGCUGUUCAUAUGUUCAGUGUCAGAAUUGCUACCUGCUGACGUACCCAUGACGGCUGAAGCCCUAAAUGGUGGUUGAGGAAAACAGGAGCCGAAUGGAAAAUGACAGCCUGGGAAGGCGAUGUGUUGUCCAUAGGUUCUGUGUCAGAGCUUCUGCCUGCUGAAGCCGUAAAUUGGGGGCUGAGGAAUACAGGAACCGAGUGGAAAAUGACACCUUGAGAAGGAGGUGUGUUGUCCAUAGGUUCAGUGUCAGAGCUUCAACCUGUUGACGUACCCAUGACGGCUGAAGCCCUAAAUGGGGUGCUCAGGAAAACAGGAGCCAAAUGGAAAAUGACAUCCUAGGAAGGAGUUGUUUUUUCCAUAGGUUCAGUGUCAGAGCUUUUUCCUGCUGAAGCCAUAAAUUGGGGCUCGGGACAACAGGACCCGAAUGGAAAAUGACAGCCUGGGAUAGAGGUUUUCUGUCCAUAGUUUCAGUUUUGGGGCUGCUACCUGCUGAAGUACCCAUCUCGGCUUAAGCCCUAAAUGGUGAGCUCAGGAAAACAGGAGUCUAAUGGAAAAUAACACCCUGGGAAGGAAGUGUGUUGUUCAUAGGUUCAGUGUCAGAGUUUCUGCCUGCUGAAGCUGUAAAUGGGUGGCUGGGGAAAACAUGAGCCGAGUGGAAAAUGACAUCCUUGGAAGGAGGUGUGUUGUCCAUCAGUUCAGUGUCACAGCUUCUGCCUGAUUAAGCCGUAAAUGAGGGGCUGGAGAAAACAGGGGCUGAAUGGAAAAUGACAGCCUGGGUAGGAGGUGUGUUGUCCAUAGGUUCAGUGUCAGAGCUGCUGCCUGCUGAAGCACUGAUGACGGCGAAGCCAUAAAUGGUGUUCUGGGGAAAACAGGAGCUGAAACAGUAAAUGCGCGGCUGGGGAAAACAGGAGCAGUAGGGGGAGAGGCUCUCUGCUUCCCAUCAGAGGUCCCACAUAUGGGCUGAAGGUUGGUUUGGAGUCCAAAGGGAUGGUUAAAAUUUGGGGUGUCGCAGGAGACCAUCGGCACAGGUGGGGUGAUAGACACUGGGACCUCCGCAGGGUGCCUCUUGUCCACCCUGAGACCUGGGGGAGACCUAAACAUGGCAGCUUUGGAAGAGGCAGUAGUAUCCAUGUAGACAUCAGUGUGUGCAGUAGACUGGAAGGUGAAACUUCCAGAUGCCGUGACCAUUCUCGUGGAAGGGAUUGCCAUAGAAGUCAUGGGCUGCCCAGUUAAAAUAGGGGGAUUGAUGGUAGGGACUGGAAGAGGGGUAGGUAAGUAUAAAGGAGGGUAGGAUCUGCAGAAAUGCGUGUUGGGGGUUCCUUUUUGUGGGAUGGUGGCUGGAAGGAGAAAGCUGGGAUGCUAGGAGGUGGAGGGAGGUCAGAAAUAAGAGGUGUGUGGUUGUGACUGAAUGAAAAGGACCUUCAUUUUUCUUUAGUGGAAUUCCCCAAAUGGGAUCAGAAGCUGAAGCAGGAAGAGAAUCAGCAGGACUGGCAACUUAGGGACUGUGUAUCUUGUUUCCUGAUCAAUAUUAGGUGUUUUGGGAAGGAGGAGGGACAGACAGGAUGGGGGACAUGGAAUAUAGGUUGGCCAAGUUGGUGGUAGUAGCAGGGACCUGCAAAGUGUGAGCGGCCGGGGGCAGGGAGUCUGCAGUCUGUGAGGCAGGUGGGGAGAGAGAAGGGGCAGACUGAGGGGCACUGCAGUCUUCCUUGACCGUCCUUAUAUUAUUCAGGAUCUUGUUCCACUGACACUCAGUGUUCUUCUCCAUGGUACCUGGGUUUUUGGCAGCAGCUAAGCACGGAAGCUUAGGAGGGAGCAGCUCACCUCGAUCCCAUGUCAGUGCCUCGAUCCCCGACGGGGACGACCUCAGCCCUGGCAGCAGCAGAAAAAGUGGCAGGGGAAUCUUCCUCUUGUAGGGCCUACUGCUGGUAGAUACCAGGGAAGAGGAGCUUUUUGAUUGGAUGUGUGAAGACUUUUCACACUGCAGCUCCUUCCCAGACAUCAGUGAGCCUGGUGAUUUGGGCCGGUGGUCUUCACCCAGCACUUCUUUCGUUGGCCUCUCCAGCAGCAGGGAGAAGCAUGUAGUUGGGGCAGAGAACACCAUGGCACGGGAUGGGACCUUCACCUCCCUCUACUUUGGGGAAGGAACUGGGAGGUGACUGGAUGGUAGCGGCUUCCUAACUUUGACUACUUGCUCAGGGCAGAAGUAGUAUUUGGAGUACUCUGAUAGCUAUCCUAAUAGAUAACAUUUUGUUCAUUUAAAUAGUUUUAAUGAGAGAGCUGGGAACUAGGGACACACAGCAUCAAGAGUUUUAUAAUGCAUUCUGUAGAGUUCUUUUUAAGUGUGUACAAAUAUAAAAAAUAUAUGCAUGCAUAUACACCUCUGUUACUUUAUUUAGUGCUUUACAAGAGUCCCUCAAGGAAGGGGUAGUAGCAACUAUCAGUAUCCUUCCUUUGCGAAGAGCUUAAUUUAUGCAAAAUUACAUCAUAAUUUAUUUGUAACUGAGAAACUAGACUUAGUUAUUGAGUAGACCCUCCCUAGAGACCUAUGACAUUAAUAAAACCAACAAAAAUUUGUUCAGUUUCCAAUGAUACACACACUACAGACUGAAUUAUGAGCCAUCCUUUUUUUUUUUUUCCACUACGUGGGCCUCUCACUGUUGUGGCCUCUCCCGUUGCGGAGCACAGGCUCCAGACACGCAGGCUCAGCGGCCAUGGCUCACAGGCCCAGCCGCUCCGCGGCAUGUGGGAUCUUCCCGGACCGGGGCAUGAACCCGUGUCCCCUGCAUCGGCAGGCGGACUCUCAACCACUGCGCCACCAGGGAAGCCCUGAGCCAUCCAUUUUAAUGAAGGGAGGAGGUGAUUUAACAAAUACAGAGCAAACAGAGUAUUAAGUUUUGUCCUCCAUUAAUAUUAGUAACCGAUAAAGUGGGCUCCAACGCCUUCAAGAUAGCUUGAGACCAUCAUCUCUGAUUCAUGGGCAGGGGGAUGUUCAGCCAGGAUGUCUUUCUCUGUCACUGAGAAAAAUUUCCAUAAUAUAUAAUGAUACCUACUGAAACUGAUAUGGGACAUUUGGGUAAUUAGGAAUCUGUUAGCAUAUUUUUCUCUCUUCUCUUUUUCAUAUAUGUCAUCUUUUUCAGCAGAAAUGUUUGGCUAAUAUCGGAAAGUAACACGAGUAAGAAAGGAUAUGAUAAGAUUCCUUGGACAUUCUUGUUUCUUAAAAAACAACUGCUUUCUUUCUGUGUUAGAAGUAAGUUCAGAUUCAAAUGGAAAGCAUGGCCUCCUGGAGCUGUUAACACCUUCACUUAGUCUUGGAUGUGAGCAGUAGCACAGAAUUCUGGUGGAACUCAGUAAGACUCCAAAUGGGUACCAAAUAAGUGUGUCAUGGAAAGCACACCAUAAGCAGGGUGAAAACUAGAUGUGAAUGGGGCAGCAGGAAUGGUGGAGACACACAUAUUGCACAUGUCUCCUCUGCUCAUGUGUAUAUUUUAUUGUCCUAUAAAUUUUACUUACAGAACGUAAGUUCAAAGAUAAAAUCAUUAAGAAUUUCAAGACAGCAAUAGCACAGCAUGAAACCAAGCAAGCGUGGGGCCCUUCUGAGCAUGGUUCAUGCAGGAUUUGAUCGACUGAUAAAAGAGCCAGGCUCUGAGAUACCCACACCAUGUCAGUGACAGAAGUUCAAGCUACAAAUAUUGAAGCAGCCCUCACUGCCACUCAGGCACGGAAAGGCCUGUCACUGAGAAUGAACCAAAAUGUAAAUUUAGGAGAUAAUUUAUGGAUAUUUAGGACUUUGGAUUUUUAACCCACAAUAACAAGAAAACUUCAUUUCAAAAGAGAGUGUGAGGUCUUCAUGUUUGCUUUGGUUGUUGAGGGUCCUUUGUGGUUACAUAUCAAUUUUGGAGUCGUUUCUUCUAUUUCUGCAAAAAUAGGGGAUUUUGAUAGGCAUUGCAUUAAAUCUGUAGAUAGCUUUGUAUAAUAUGGACAUUUUAACAAUAGUUCAUGAACAUAGGAUGUCUUUCCAUUUAUUUAUGUCUUCCUUAAUUUCUUUCAAUAACGCUGUAGUUUUGUUUUGUUUCUGUGGUACACGGGCCUCUCACUGUUGUGGCCUCUCCCGUUGUGGAGCACAGACUCCAUACGCGCAGACUCAGUGACCAUGGCUCACGGGCCCAGCCGCUCCGCAGCAUGUGGGAUCUUCCUGGACCAGGGCACAAACCUGCGUCCCCUGCAUCGGCAGGCGGACUCUCAACCAUUGCACCACCAGGAAAGCCCAACGCUGCAGUUUUCAGUGUACAAGUCUUUCAUGUCCUUGGUUAGGCUUAUUCCUAAGUAUUUUAUUCUUUUUGAUGCUAUUGUAAAUGGAAUUGUUCUCCUAAUUUCUUUUUCAGAUUCUUCAUUGUUAAUGUGCAGAAAUGCAAGUGAUGUGUAUAUGUUGAUUUCAUAUUCUGCAAACUUUGCUAAGUUGUUUUAUUCUAAUAAAUUUUUUGUGAAAUAUUUAACAUUUUCUGUAUCUUUUUCAAUAGUUUCCCUUUCAGCCUAAGUGUAUCCUUAAAUCUAGGGGACAUUUUGACCACCAUCUGAGGCUUUCAUCUUAAUUCUCAACUUAUUCAGAGUCUUACUUGGUUAAUGUUCUCCUCAUUGUUUGCCAGUUUGGAGAAUCCACCAAAAUGUUCUACUCAAGUUCCAGAAAUGACGUCUGCUGAAGGGCGAACAUGUUCUAGCAAUGAAUCUUCAAAAGACUCCUGCCGCUGCUCUGUGACUGGGACCCCAGGUUGUCUUUGGAAGUUUCUAAGGCCUCCUGAGUAGACACUGGGAUAUGGAAGGAGUCAAGAGGCAAAGGAAUCCUAGCGUCACCUGUAAUUUUCUGAAACUGGACGGAAAAACAAAAGACAAGACAAAAAUUCAGUGAUGAACAGAGCCAACCAUUAAAAAGUAGAGCUCAAAACUUCAAUGUUACUCUGUGAUCUUAUUAUUAACACAGUCAAUAUUCAGAAGAUUUCAGAGCCAGUUUUUUUCUAAUUAUAUCUUGCCAAGUGAUUCGUAGCUUAACCUAGCUAUAUCCAAGACUAUGUCCGCUACAUUUUCAGACUUUGGUGAUUGGGGUACUUACUACCCAUUUCCUUUCCCUCACUAAAAAUAAAACCCUAUUCUGUAAGAUAAUUAAUUUCUUUUCUAUCCUCCAGGCACAUGCAAACAGUAUAUAGUUUGUGACCAGACUGUGUUCUCAAGCUGUCAGUUCCCAAGACCAGUCUGAGAUUGGCUGAUGGGGGCUCCAAGCAAGGCUAGAGGAAAAGCUGACAGGUUUCCCCUCCCAUUUCCAUAACCAGAGUUCAAAUGUCCCCCAUUCACCUUGGUCUAAGCUUAACCAGUCAAGGAGAUACAACGCAGAUGGGAGGAGAAAACAGAACCCUCACACAAGCUGUGCCGUGUUGCAAUCAGCCUUCCGUUUGAAAAAUAAUCUUCUCUAUAGCUUUAAAGUGAUACCUUUGUACUGGCAAUGCUUCUUGUUUCAAACUGAUUUUCUCUGGCUCUU